UCUCAGGCACUUUUCCUACCUGCAUCCUCUGAUCACUACUCUGUUAAAUAGUCAAGGAGGGUAAGUAUUCUCUUCAGAUUUCCAGAGCUCUGUCUCUGUACAGCCCUCUCCUCCUCAAUGUUCUGCCCUAUGAAUUCUAGCCGCAUUGGUCCCAGACUCACAGUUCUGUCUUCUCAACUCAGGGAGGUCUCUGAGCUCCAUCUGGAUUCUUGCUUCCUGUGCUGUGGCCUGGAAACUUUUAUAGGUGAUGGGGAGGUCAAUUCCUUUGUUUCUCGCCUUUUGAAGAUCACUGCCCUUUGUUGCUUGAUUCCAGUGAUUGAUUCCCUUUGUUGCUUGAGGGGCAUAGCUUCAUAUAUUUUGUCCAGUGUUUUUGUUGUUUUAGGUGAGAAGGUAAUUUUGGUCUCUGUUACUGAAUCUUGGCCAGAAGUGUAAGUCACUUACCUAAGCAUUUAUACAUCAAAAUACUGCACAAAUAAUUUUAGUUUAAACUACUUUUUAAAAAUCUCCUUCAUCUUCCAUUUAGAAUUCUAUUUAGGGUAUUACGUUGAUUUUUUAGAAAUUCUGUUAUUGACAGUUUCAAUUGCCUUUUAAUUCCAUUUAAAGGUAGUGCAUAGGGUAUUCUAAAACAGCUGUUAAACAAAGAGAAAAUUGGGCCUGAUAGGGUGAAAAUCACAGCUCUAAUACCUAGAGUGACCCUAUAAUGUAUUGUCCAAAGGAGAUAUUUUUGACAGUGAAAGAGGAUGUUGCUAGUAAUUAUAUCAGGACCAUGGACUAAACCAGUACUAGCCUAGGCUGCCGGGGACGUAUUUGUAUCCCAUCUCUAUUUUAUGCCUUAUACAAUUCUUUACUUACACCUACCAGCCUUUAAUGAGCCUGCUUUUUUUUGUCCAGCUGAGUGCCACAUGCUGACAUCACUAAGAUCAAUAAGGCAAACUCUGAAAGAUGGGAAGAGACAGGAGACAGUCCUUUAUAAUGCAGUGUGAUCUGUGCUCCAACAGAGUUUUGGAGGCUAGAAGUUCAAAACCAGGUGUUGGCAGCACCACGCUCUCCCUGAAGAUGCCUUUCCAGUAGCUUCUGGGGUUGCCUGCAAGCCCUGACAUUCCUUGGCUUAUAGAUGCACCACCCCAGUUUCCACCCCCACCAUCACAUGGCCUUCUCCCUGGGUGCCUGUCUGUGCUCCUUCUCCUCUUCUUCAAAGGACAACAGUCAUAGUAGAUUAAGGGCCCACUCCUAACUAAUUACAUCUGCAACAGCCUGAUUUCCAAAGAAAGUCACCUUCUAAGAA